ensembl:lncRNA
AUGUCAGACCUCUUUAACCCUUCAGCGCCCCGUAUCACUUCUACAGGUGGGAGGCUGUUGGCAGCCUUUAGAAUGAGGCACGAGAAACACACACAGUCCUCUAGUGUCCCAGAAGCCUUUGCACCGCCUGACAAUGCAGCGCGCUGCGGCCUGGCGUGUGUGUGCGUCUCAGAGCCUCACCUGAAGACUGGCCACAGUGAGGCGCCGCGCGUCAUCGGACGGCGAGGCCACGGGGACCACGAAGGGGCUGUCGGGGACGUGCUCGUCAUUGAAGCGGAUCGACACCUCGUAGUCUCCUACAGGAAACAGGCGUCGGGUCAGAAAGUCACAGCAACGCGUGGCCCAAAACGUUUGGUAACAAGACAAACUGAUUCAUCGUCCUCAUCGUUUCAUCCGCCCAUUGACCCCCCUUCUCUCACCGGGCUCCUGCACCAUGUAGGACACUCCACUGGACCCGUCUUUGCGGUCCUCGAAGGCAAUUUCGGCCUUGCUCGGCCCCUCCACAGCAAUACUGAGACCUCCGGCGCCGGCCUCCCGCGUCCAGAUACUGAACUCGGCUACACACACACACACACACACGGCCGGGUCAGGUUGGCGGUGCAGAAGAACACGUGUGCACUGAUGGUCCAGCCCCCACACACACACUAACCUGGCACUCCGGCUUCGGCUCUCUCCAGGCCCGGCCCUCCGGCACGGACCUUGUGAGCGCCGCCCUCCCCCAGGGGGCCCACGGUAAACUGGAACGGGCUGCCCGGCACGUGCACGCCGUUGUAUUUCACACACACGGUGUGCACGCCGGUCUCGGUGGGGACGAAGCGAAUGCAGUAGGUGUUGUUCUCUCCCUCCAUGAUCUCGGCCUUGUGGACCUGGCCGGACGGACUGGUCACCUGGGCGGUCAUGUCCGCUAUGCUGAUCUCUGGUUGGGGUCAAACACGCGAGCAGUGAGACUCUGCAGCUUUCGGCUUCGGAUACGAAUUGAAACGUUGUAGAAGAAGCGGAGCUGGUGCUCAGACCAGGGGACUCGCCGAGUUUGGUCACGGCUAAAACACGCAUGUUGGGCGUCUGCACGCGUACCUGGGAUCUUGAGGCUGAGGUCACACUGGCUGCCAACGUUGGCGACCGAUGCUGCUCUCCUCUUCCUGGUGAUGCUCUCCUUCAUCCUGCCCUCCCCG